rnacentral:sRNA from 1 species
UAAAUCCGUCAAGUGAUUUGUCUGGCGC